CAUCACUCUCUGCUUCAGCUACAGGCCUGCAUAAAUGGAGGAGUCUCUGCAAAUUCGCCGAAUUAACGAAAUUCCGUCGCCGGAGGAAUUCGCCUCUCAGAUUGAACAGAAAAAUGUCCCUGCAGUCUUCAGUGGAUGUGCCAAGGAGUGGAAAGCAUUUUCGAGAUGGAAUGUGUCGAAUGGCGGCCUCGACUACUUGCAGGAUUUGGUGGGAUCGUCCAUUGUGGAAGCUAUGCUAUCCAGAUCUGCACCUGUAUUUUAUGGAGAUAUUCGAGCCCAUGAGAGGGUUCCUUUGCCGUUUUCUACCUUUGUUGGUUACUGCAAAGAUCUUCUACAAUGUGAGGAUGAUGGCGAAGACCCCAUUUCUCAAUUAAGAAAGCAUGAACCAACGGAAGUUGCUACCCAACAAGGUGAUUUUGCAACGGGAGAAGAAUGUCCAAAGCAAAUCUAUUUAGCCCAGGUUUCCAUUGUAAAUACUGAAAAUGAAGAAAAGAGUCAGCUGGAAUGCCUUAAAGAUGAUAUUGAAAUGCCUGCGUUUCUGGAAAACAAAAUUCUGGCUUCUAUCAAUUUGUGGAUGAACAAUGCCAAGAGUAGAUCUAGUACUCACUAUGAUCCGCACCAUAAUCUUCUAUGCAUAAUUUCAGGAUGUAAACAAGGUGACCUGUUCACAAUAUGUUUGUCAGUUGUUUUAUGGCCCCCUUCCGCAUGCCCCUUCUUAUAUCCAUUGCCUGUGUAUGGAGAAUCCUCAAACCACAGCGCCAUUCCAUUGGAAAACAUCAAUUUUAGUCUCUAUCCAAGGGCAAAGUCAAUUGCUGAGUACUCUCGGAAGGUUACCCUUCAUGCAGGGGAUGCAUUGUUCAUUCCUGAAGGAUGGUUCCACCAAGUGGACAGUGAAGAUUUAACUAUAGCUGUCAAUUUCUGGUGGCAGUCUGACAUGAUGUCUGGCAUGCCAGAACACAUGGAUGCUUACUAUCUACGUAGAAUAUUAAAAAGAUUAACUGACAAAGAAAUGGAUCGAAUGCUCUCUAUGCCUUCAACUUCGAAGGUGAACCAUAUGAUUAGUGCAAGUGGCCAGUCUAGUAAUGAAAAUGCAGAUUUGAAUUUGAACCAUCAAGAAGUAGGUGGAGAAGAAAAGCUGGAGCCAGGGUUUUCAUUGCGGGAACUGGAACCACAUGAACUUAGAUCUCUUCAUGAACUCAUUUCCUUAGUCCAUGAGCAAAUCAACUGCCAGCCAGCAGACAACAUCGCGGCAGACCAGUCUGCCUGUAGAGAGGAAGUCGUGAAGAAAUUGGAUAAAGCAAAUUUACAUAACUUAGAAGAUGAUCCAAUUGCUAAUACCGUUUGGAACCUAGAACCACAUGUCUUUCAAAUUGUCUUUCUCACCAUGGCACACAAUUUUCCAAGGACAUUGGAGGCUUUUGUAUUGCAUGCGCUCUCCCCUGUAGGAGUUGAAGUCCUUACCAGGAAAUUCGAGCAGAUGGAUCAAAGGAUUGCUCCGGAUGAGCGGAGUCAGUUUUACCAAAAGUUCUAUAGCGUGUUUGAUAACCAGUUCUCUGCCAUGGAUGCUCUUUUGAAUGGGAAAGAGUCUUUUGCAUGCCAGGCAUUCAAUAAUGUGCUGGUCCAAUAUCUGGGAGUUAAUCUUGAUGGGCCAAAACCAUCGCUGCAGUAGGAAUGACUGACCGAUAAUGUUCAGACACUGUUGAUUAUUUAUAGUCUUGACUUGCGAAACAUGCCAAAUUGGAAAGACGAAAGAGUGCCAUCUUGGUUUCAGAUUAUACAUUUGGGCUGAGAUAUCUUUGCCUUACUCUUUAUUCAUUGCCGCGGUGACACUCAAAUGUUGUGUGGAGGAUUCUGCAUGGGGAUUUGCAGUAGAUGGGAAAAGAUAAUAAAACAAAAUGAAAGAAGGUUUAGUAAUUAUUUGCUUUGGAAGAAAGAAGAAAAGGAAUAAAAGGUAGGCCUGUGGAGAUGAGAUUCCCUUAUGAAACAUGACAUAUGCAACUUCUAGAGAGAGAAUGGAAUAGAAGCUUUAGUUUUUGUCCUGUUCUGCUGCAUAACAUAACAUAGCAAGAUAGAAAGAGAAUGUAUCCUUUCUCUACUGAGGCAACCGAUAUGUAUUGGUACCUUAACCUGCAACUUAUUUCACCCUACUUUCUAAAAGCUUUGGAUAUACCAAAGUAGCUUAGUAUAUCUUUGAUACACACACAUAUAAAUAUAUAUUCUUUGGGUCCAUUCCAUAUGCUUACUGCUUAUCUUUUCUUAAUUACUUUGUAUAUUCCUCUUAAAGCUAAAGGAAUUAUUGUUACUGUGAACUUUUACUUAAAUUCAUCAUCUUUUUCUCAACACUUGGGUUUUGAAUAUACCUCUAUAAAGCUCAUGUCCUUAUCCUUGCCCAAAACAUGACACCUUGUGCUUUCUUUGUGAGAAAAGUUUAUUCUUCUGGUAUGCCCUCAAAUUACACUAAUAAAAGAUGCAUGUUUAUUCUAUUUUAUCAUUUACUUUAUUUAUGAUUCCUUUAGCUUCUCAAAAUAGUGAUAAAAGAUAAGAGUGAACUUCGAAAUUAGUCCGUGGAAAAAUGAAAAUAUCGCCACAAGUAUUGGAAAAUGAAAAAUACUAAAAAUAAGUCCUUAUUUUCCAAUUUUGCACCUGAGCCCUAGAAAGGGUAAAAGCGACUAUUUCUUUCACUCCCAUGUGCACAUGCACUCUGUGGCACAUGACCUUUCAAAUUGCUUUCAUAUCUGUGUACCAACUUCUUCAUCGAACUUGAAGAUGAAGAAGUUGGUACAAAAAUACGGAAGCAAUUUGAAAUGUCCCAUGUCAGAGUGCGUGUGAGGUGUGCACAUAAGAGAGAGAAAUACUCAGUAAAAUAAGUGAAAUGAUGUGAAAAAACUGUCUUGUUAGUUUGACAUUAAAACUGUCUAUUGAAUUGCAUUGUAUUUUUAUGCUAAUCUCUUUUGUUUUAUAUCAUU